rnacentral:lncRNA from 1 species
CCUAAUCUCUUUUGAAUAAUUGUAUUAUUUUCAUGUUUUAUUGCGUUUAAGGGUUUAGGGUGUUAUAUCUAGCGCAUGAGUGUAUGGCCAAAACCAUGUCCUAGAUGCAUGGCCAUGUCCUAGCGCAUGGCACUUCUACCCGGACUUAGUUUUUCUGAUUUUCCGUCAUUUUAGGUCUUCGUCUUCAAAUAACUUGUCUCGAAAUUUGGGAACAAAAUUCCUCCCUCUUCUAAGUCUCUUGAGGCCUCUUGAAUCUUCAUUCUUGGUCUUCCUAAAUCUUCACAAAUCUUCAGAUGUUCUUGAUUUUCCUAUUUGCAUGAUUUCUUCGUGAAUUACUUCAAAAAACCCCUAAAAUUGCUAUGUUUCAGGAAAACUAGAAUUACAAACUAAAAUAUAAAAAACAUUACAAAUAUCCCAAAAUUGUACCCCGCAUUUAGAUCCCAUUACGUCUAUUUCUUCCUUUUAGAACAUGUCCUAUAUUUUUUUUUUCUUACACUAGUCAUGCAUAAUAAAUUCCUAACUAGAACCUAACAAAAUAGUUAAACUAAUUUAAUUACAAUUCAAAACCCCAAAUUUGUUUUCCCAUGUCCACGCAUCAAGCAAAACAUCAAGCACACAUCAUCUCUUCUUUGGUACCUAAAAUGUUGGAUGUAUGGGUUAGUCUUCAACACCCAUGAAAUAAAAUCAAUAAGAAAUUACAACAUCAUAUAAGAAUAUACAACCAUCAUCAAGGAAUUGUGCUAAAAUAAUUUCUUUUUUAGUUUAAAAUAUUCAUCACUCUAAAAUAUGCUAUAAGAACUAACACAAGACCAAAGCCUCAAUGUUGAUGAUGCAAAUCCAUGAAAUGCAAAUAGAUCAUGAUCCGGAUAUCGCCCCAAUUGGCAUAAUAGUUUUAAUCGUCCCAUUUGGCAUAUAAUAAAAAAUCACCUCAUUUGGCAUAUGAUAAUAAUCGCCCCAUUUGGCACUUAAAAAUCCAUUGAAUCGCCCCAAUUGGCAUAUAAUAAUAAUCGCCCCAUUUGGCACUUAUAAAUCCAUUAAAAUAAUAAUAAUCGCCCCAUUUGGCACUUAGAAAUCCAUUGAAAUAAUGAUAAUCACCCCAUUUGGCACUUAAAAUCCAUCAAAUGCAAUGAUAUGCAUGCUAUGCACUCUUUCUAUAAACUACAAACUUUUCCGACUCUUGAACCACAUAAUUAUGAAUUUCACAUCAUCACUGUACUUCAAAAUCAGUAAACUUUAACACACCCACAUAUACAACGAAAUCACUUUAACUCAACAACAUUUCUCAUUGCACAAAUAAGAAAACAUCAAGAUUUACACAAUCAUAAAAUCACAUACUUUAACAAAAUUGGAACUCACCAAUUCAUAUAAUUAUCAACUACAAGAAAAUUAAUAAAACAUAAUAAAUCUUUUCACUCAUCCAUUAAAUCAAGAAGCAUAUCAAAUUCAACAUCAUAAUCUAUCAUUUUCAUUUAAACACGGUCAAGACUAGAGCCAUUACCUUAGACGCUUCUCUUUUUCGGUCAAACUCUAACAAGACACUCUAAAGGCUUGCACUGAAGGUUGCAAGAGGAUUUAUAUUUGCAGCUUCAAUAAAGGAAUAAUCAAAAUUAGAAUAAAAGGAAAUUGGAGUCGACAGAGGAGGAACUAUUGAAAAUAUAAUACUUUAGAACUUACACGAAGAGUAUAGUUGAUGAAGAUUUUAGAAUAUUGAUUAACAAGGUGAUGAUGGUUAAUUAAAAGUUGGUGGUAUAUAGUUGAGGCUACGAGGGUAACACACGUUGUUUCAAGAAUUAGAAUAACUUAGUUAUUGUAACUAUGAAUAUACUACUUGAAAAGUGGGGAAGACUCUUUAAAAGACAUAUGUGUUUUGUAAAGGAAUGGAACGAUAGAUGGUAGAAUCAUUUUUCUUAGUAUAUCAAGAUUAACAAUGGUAGAAAUGGAACAAGUAAUGGUCAUCGUGUGGUUUAGCUAAGUGGGAGAGAAAUUGAUGCAAAGAAUUAUAGGAGAUGGCUAGUAGAACACAUAACAAAUAAGUGACAAAACUAAUGCAAUGGAAUUUGAGAGGAGAGGACCUGUGAAAUCGAAUGAGUGAGAAACCAACCGAUUGUGAGUGAAUUGAAAUACAUAGCUAAUAUGUGCCUAGUUUUUAGGAACCAAAUAACUAACUUCAUUGACCUAGCAAUUCAAGAAACAUAGUGGCACAAGGGAGAAGGAAAUAUGGCGGUAGUGGCAUCAACUAGGUAAGAAAAACGUGUAGUAUUAAUAAGACAAUAUC